rnacentral:rRNA from 1 species
UACGGAGGGUGCAAACGUUGCUCGGAAUCAUUGGGCGUAAAGCGCACGUAGGCGGCCUAUUAAGUCGGAUGUGAAAGCCCCGGGCUCAACCCGGGAAGUGCAUACGAAACUGGUAGGCUUGAAUAUGGAAGAGGGUCGCGGAAUUCCCGGUGUAGAGGUGAAAUUCGUAGAUAUCGGGAGGAACACCAGUGGCGAAGGCGGUCUGCUGGGCCACUACUGACGCUGAGGUACGAAAGCGUGGGGAGCGAACGGG